UGCCAGCCGCCGCGGUAAUACGGAAGGUGCAAGCGUUAUCCGGAUUCAUUGGGUUUAAAGGGUACGUAGGCGGAAUUUUAAGUCAGUAGUGAAAGCCCAUCGCUUAACGAUGGAACUGCUAUUGAUACUGGAAUUCUUGAAUUUAGUUGAAGUAGGCGGAAUACGACAUGUAGCGGUGAAAUGCAUAGAUAUGUCGUGGAACACCGAUCGCGAAGGCAGCUUACUAAGCUAAUAUUGACGCUGAGGGAUGAAAGCUGGGGGAGCAAACCGGAUUAGAUA
rnacentral:rRNA from 1 species